AUAAUGGGUCAGCGACUUAUAUUCUGUAGCAAGGUUAACCGAAUAGGGGAGCCGAAGGGAAACCGAGUCUUAACUGGGCGUUAAGUUGCAGGGUAUAGACCCGAAACCCGGUGAUCUAGCCAUGGGCAGGUUGAAGGUUGGGUAACACUAACUGGAGGACCGAACCGACUAAUGUUGAAAAAUUAGCGGAUGACUUGUGGCUGGGGGUGAAAGGCCAAUCAAACCGGGAGAUAGCUGGUUCUCCCCGAAAGCUAUUUAGGUAGCGCCUCGUGAAUUCAUCUCCGGGGGUAGAGCACUGUUUCGGCAAGGGGGUCAUCCCGACUUACCAACCCGAUGCAAACUGCGAAUACCGGAGAAUGUUAUCACGGGAGACACACGGCGGGUGCUAACGUCCGUCGUGAAGAGGGAAACAACCCAGACCGCCAGCUAAGGUCCCAAAGUCAUGGUUAAGUGGGAAACGAUGUGGGAAGGCCCAGACAGCCAGGAUGUUGGCUUAGAAGCAGCCAUCAUUUAAAGAAAGCGUAAUAGCUCACUGGUCGAGUCGGCCUGCGCGGAAGAUGUAACGGGGCUAAACCAUGCACCGAAGCUGCGGCAGCGACGCUGAUGCGUUGUUGGGUAGGGGAGCGUUCUGUAAGCCUGCGA
rnacentral:rRNA from 1 species